GACGAACGCUGGCGGCGUGCCUAAUACAUGCAAGUCGAGCGGAUUUUCGGAAGCUUGCUUCCGAAAAUUAGCGGCGGACGGGUGAGUAACACGUGGGCAACCUGCCUGUAAGACUGGGAUAACUUCGGGAAACCGGAGCUAAUACCGGAUACAUUCUUCCCUCGCAUGAGGGAAGAUGGAAAGACGGUUUUGCUGUCACUUACAGAUGGGCCCGCGGCGCAUUAGCUAGUUGGUGAGGUAAUGGCCCACCAAGGCGACGAUGCGUAGCCGACCUGAGAGGGCGAUCGGCCACACUGGGACUGAGACACGGCCCAGACUCCUACGGGAGGCAGCAGUGGGGAAUCUUCCGCAAUGGACGAAAGUCUGACGGAGCAACGCCGCGUGAGCGAAGAAGGCCUUCGGGUCGUAAAGCUCUGUUGUCAGGGAAGAACAAGUACCAUAGUAACUGAUGGUACCUUGACGGUACCUGACCAGAAAGCCACGGCUAGCUACGUGCCAGCCGCCGCGGUAA
rnacentral:rRNA from 1 species